GCCUAAUCCUGCCUGAUCUCAGAAGCUAAUAAGCAGGGCCGGGCCUGGUUAGUACUUGGAUGGGAGACCACUAAGGAAGACCAGGUGCUGUAGGCC
rnacentral:rRNA from 1 species